CUGCCCACACCGCCCCGCCUCCCCGCGCGAGUGGCUGAGGCGUAGCGCUGCCAUCCCCGCACCCCUGGGAACAUGGCGCUGCGAGUGGUGCGGAGCGUGCGGGCCGUGCUCUGCAGCCUGCACGUGGUCCUGGCACCUGCCGCGCCCUGCCUAUCGAGGCCCUGGCAGCUUGGGAUGGGCGCCGUCUGGUUACUGUAAUCUGCCUGAAGUUGGGACAAAAUUGAACAAACAAGAUGAGUUUGGUGCUUUGGAGAGUGUGAAAGCUGCUAGUGAACUCUAUUCUCCUUUAUCAGGAGAAGUAACCGAAAUUAAUGAAGCUCUUGCAGAAAAUCCAGGACUUGUAAACAAAUCUCGUUAUGAAGAUGGUUGGCUGAUCAAGAUGACACUGAGUAACCCUUCAUAACUAGAUGAACUUAUGAGUGAAGAAGCAUAUGAGAAAUACAUAAAAUCUAUUGAGGAGUGAAAAUGGAACCACUAAAUAAGCUAGUAUGAAAUAACGCAACCCAGCAGAGUUGUCCUAAAUUAGUGGUGGAUAGAAGACUUAGAAUAGCAACUUUUAGCAUUACCCAUGGGAAAAAAAAACUACUGUUAACACUGCUAAUGAAAGAAGAUGCCUUUUAACUUUCUAAUGAUUGUAGAUAAACAUAAUAUGUGUCUUUUUCACAACAUCCUAUGAUUUUUAGACUAGGCUCUAGUAUUCAUGAAAUUAUCCAUGAAAUUAUCCAUGGUAAAAAUUAGUUACAAAAAUUACAUAAUUCAAAGAUAAUGUUGUUAUUCUUAAGCCUUAUAUAAUAUUGUAACUUGUGUAUGUCCAUACCUGGACUUGGGAUGAAAUACUUAAUGAUCUUUCCAUUGGAAAUAACUGGGAGUGAAGAAGUUUUUGUUGCUUGUACAGUGUCAGAUGAAGAACAACACUAUCUUAAUUUUGCAAUACACUGCAUUUGCUGGUGCUGUUUUUAUAUAGUGAAGCAACAGCUGUACAGCAAAAUAAUAAAAUACU